AAUUAUUUUAUCGUAUGUGUCUUCAGUAUAGUAGUUGAAAACUGAAAGAAUUAUGCCGCAGGACGUGAGUUGGAGAAUUCCUCUACCGACAUUGGACCUAGGCGCAGGGGAAAAAAUUAACUUGAGGUUGAGGUCAGUUCGCCAUCAUCGAAAUGGACAAACUCGAAAAGUUCCAAUCGUAGAUCGUCCGCUCAAACCCCAGCUGAAAAUGGAAGAAGCCAUCCAGAGUUUCUUACCAUCGCUGAAGCCCAAGCCCGUGGCCAAGGAGCUCAUUAUCACAUCACGGACGCCUUCUCCAUGCUCAAAGGCCAGGCCAGUGCCUCACCUGCCACGUGCGUGCAUCCCCGUCUGGGGGACUGAUGACACGUCCCGCAGUGCGACCUACAACUGCCAUCUGUGCUGGGGGUUGGCGAAAUGCAACCCUGAGAUGCAUCCACAGAAUCUGCCGUCGAUCUCGGACACUGUGAGCUGGGCCUUCAGAGCCAAGAAAGAGAGGCUGAAGUCCGCCAGGCGCCAUGGGGGUGUUGCCAAGGACAAGAAGGCCAGGCGGAAAGAUAUCACCAAAGGGCAAGGUCCAGCAACACUAAAGGUGGAUGCAUGGUUGCAGACUGAUGCAUGCCCUGUGGAUGGAGAAAACCUUAAACUGUCUGAGCUUGGCAGUGAUAUUGUUUUGUUCCCUGGAACUACUCCCUCCAAUAACGUCACACUGGCGCUCCCUGCCAUAAAGGGGGCGGACACCAUCCUCCCCCAGCAUGUUGUGCCGCUUACAUUCUCCAAGGAGAAGCUCCAAGAUAUGCCAAGAACUGCCUGCCAUAGGGAACCCUGCAGCGACAAGAGGUGCCGGGCCAGCAGCCCAGCAGAUCACACAACGUGGGCAACGAAGCGAUUCACCAACAGGAUGUAGUGAAUUUAAAAUUUGAGAGGCCACGUUUUUGAUGAGACUAUAAAGUAUGCUCUUGAAUAUUUAAUCAUGAUCAUGAAUAAUGUAAUAUUCAGAUGAAGUGUUGUCCUUCUGGACCAGUUGCAUACAAUGACACGCUUCAGUCAAUCCACAGAAACCGGGAUAUGUUAAUAUAUGUCAAUGGUGCAUGUAUUUAAGGUACAUGCAUCAUCCCUUUGCUAAGGCCAGGCCCAGAGAAAUUUCUGGUUUGUCCACUGUCACACCUACAAUACUGCACUGUGUUAUGUACAAACAACCAUCUCAAAUCUGCAUCAGUGUCACUAGAGUCAGCCAAAUAUGUAACAAACAGAUUGAAUAGUACUUCAUUUAAGACACAGCCCAGUAAAAUACCAACAGAGAGUCCCCGCUCUGCCUAUUUUUUUGAGAAGUUGCUUUGGGACAUUCAACCCAUAACCAUGUUGGGACUGUGUUUUUGUAACACAAUCCGAUUCUCUUUUGUUCAAGGAACGUGCUCUUUUUGAUAUGAAAAUUCAUCCAACAUGUCAAAGGUUGCCUGCCUUAAAUCACCUAUGCUACUUCCUUCGACUGCAGAUCUCUUACUUCGAGGUUAUCAUUCCCAGGCAAACUAGAUCAAGGAAGUCAUUUUGCACUUGGAAGUCAUCCUUUGAGGGAGCCUCGACAGUUUUGG
rnacentral:misc_RNA from 1 species